GACGAACCGUGCGAACGUUGUUCGGAAUCACUGGGCUUAAAGGGCGCGUAGGCGGGUUCGCAAGUCAGGGGUGAAAUCUUUCAGCUUAACUGGAAAACAGCCCCUGAUACUGCGAGUCUCGAGGGAGGUAGGGGCAUGUGGAACUUCCGGUGGAGCGGUGAAAUGCGUUGAUAUCGGAAGGAACGCCGGUGGCGAAAGCGACGGGCUGGCCCUCCACUGACGCUGAGGCGCGAAAGCCAGGGGAGCGAACGGG
rnacentral:rRNA from 1 species